AGUUGGUAGGGUAAAGGCCUACCAUGGCAGUGAUCUAUAGCUGGUCUGAGAGGAUGAUCAGCCACACUGGAACUGAGAUACGGUCCAGACUCCUACGGGAGGCAGCAGUGGGGAAUAUUGGACAAUGGGCGCAAGCCUGAUCCAGCUAUGCCGCGUGAGUGAGGAAGGCCUUAGGGUUGUAAAACUCUUUCAGUGGGGAAGAUAAUGACGGUACCCACAGAAGAAGUCCCGGCAAACUCCGUGCCAGCAGCCGCGGUAAUACGGAGGGGGCAAGCGUUGUUCGGAAUUAUUGGGCGUAAAGGGCAUGUAGGCUGGUUCGGUAAG
rnacentral:rRNA from 1 species